AACCUAAGGUAAAUCGAUGACGUAUAAGUGAUCCAUACUUAUCUUGUAAUAAGCGCAAAUCGGACUAUCGACAUAACUAUCUUUAAGAUAAAUAUCCAUUAAGAAUAACUAUGCGGACUUGGUUCCGUGAAGACUUGAUAUAAUUAUCAAUCAACAUCCGUGUAACCGCGCUAAUACAAUUGUCUAUCACCUAGAUCUAAAGUGUAAAUAGUCAGUUAUAUUAAACGAAGCAUACCAAAAGUACUUCAUGUACGUUCAGCUAAAACUACUCAUUUGAGGUUACUCUCAGUGCUGAUAAAAUCAAGCGAUAGCUCCCCUCAGAAUCGACCUACAUCUCACUAUGAGAAAAUAGAUAUAGUACAAUGCAACAUGCAAGCUAUAGACGUGUCUAAGUGUCUAAUUU
rnacentral:misc_RNA from 1 species